rnacentral:rRNA from 1 species
CACAAGCGGUGGAGCAUGUGGUUAAUUCGAAGCAACGCGAAGACCUUACCAGGCCUUGACAUGCAGAGAACUUUCCAGAGAUGGAUUGGUGCCUUCGGGAACUCUGACACAGGUGCUGCAUAGCUGUCGUCAGCUCGUGUCGUGAGAUGUUGGGUUAAGUCCCGUAACGAGCGCAACCCUUGUCCUUAGUUACCAGCACGUUAAGGUGGGCACUCUAAGGAGACUGCCGGUGACAAACCGGAGGAAGGUGGGGAUGACGUCAAGUCAUCAUGGCCCUUACGGCCUGGGCUACACACGUGCUACAAUGGUCGGUACAAAGGGUUGCCAAGCCGCGAGGUGGAGCUAAUCCCAUAAAACCGAUCGUAGUCCGGAUCGCAGUCUGCAACUCGACUGCGUGAAGUCGGAAUCGCUAGUAAUCGUGAAUCAGAAUGUCACGGUGAAUACGUUCCCGGGCCUU